AUCGGUUCACAGGAAAUGGACAUAUGAAUAUUAUAUCAUUAAACCCUUUGUCUUCAGUUGUGUGACAGUGUGCUGACCUUGGGGAAAAGUGCAGACAGAUCUGCUUCGAUGCACUCUCUCUCGGUUUGUGACUGGAGUAUCCUUUUCUCUGCAGAAAGAGAUCCAGUUUCUGCAGAACUGGUUCCAACCACAUCCCGAACUCAUGUGACGACACCAAAGGCCAGAGAAAAAUACCCAGCACUGCGGUAAACAGAUGUGUAAACUAUUAAUGUAAGGCUCACACUUACGAACCUGCUGACUGCCAGGAAGAAAAAGAAACCAGAGACUGAGUGUGAAUGUGAAUGUCGUCACAGUGACAUUACUAAGAAUCCACUACCACAUGACGAAUGGGCUGUGCUGGAGGUAAAUCCGGAGGGGGUUUGCUCUCCUUGGCCAGUAGCAGCAUGGUUACAUUCAUUUUGGAUGUAUUUUGAAUGUAUUUUAAAUGAAUUCAACUCUGAAAUCUGGACUUUACUAGAACUUUUAUGUUAAGCGGCUUCGACACAAUCUACAUUGUAAAGGUGCUUUCUAAUUAAACCUAAAUUGAAUUGAAUUUGUAAAGAAAUGUCAGUGAAAAAAUAAGACAAAAUAACUAUUAUUAUCAUUAUAUGUUUAGGAUCUUUUUUUGGUACUUACCUAAAAUGUAUGAAAUAACAACCCCUGGUACGUAACGUCCAAGUAUUGCUAGAAAAGAGCACAUACUGCAAACCAGCAGACAAAACUGCAAAUGAGACACAAAUUUAAAAUGGCUCAGUUCACUGUAA
rnacentral:lncRNA from 1 species